rnacentral:snRNA from 1 species
AGCUUUGCACAGUGGCGGUAUAGUAGCCAAUGAGGUUUAUCCGAGGUGCGAUUAUUGCUAAUUGAAAAAAGACCAAUCUUAAAUUCAUGUGGUUUGUCUGCAGUCACCUCCCAACACAUGACCUAAAAUUGCCUACAUGACCUCUGGUCAAAACAAUUUUUUAAAAUAUGGUCAUGUA